rnacentral:tRNA from 1 species
UGGCUCAGUGGAUAGAGCAUGAAACUCUUGAUCUCAAGGUCGUGAGUUCAAGCCCCAC